AUCCUGCCUGCCGCGUGAUUGAUGAAGGCCCUAGGGUUGUAAAGAUCUUUCAACAGUGAAGAUAAUGACGGUGACUGUAGAAGAAGCUCCGGCUAACUCCGUGCCAGCACCCGCGGUAAUACGGAGGGAGCUAGCGUUGUUCGGAAUUACUGGGCGUAAAGCGCGCGUAGGCGGAUUAUUAAGUCAGAGGUGAAAUCCCGGGGCUCAACCCCGGAACUGCCUUUGAUACUGGUAGUCUAGAGGUCGAGAGAGGUGAGUGGAAUUCCGAGUGUAGAGGUGAAAUUCGUAGAUAUUCGGAGGAACACCAGUGGCGAAGGCGGCUCACUGGCUCUAUACUGACGCUGAGGUGCGAAAGUGUGGGUAGCAAACAGGAUUAGAUACCCUGGUAGUCCACACCGUAAACGAUGAAUGCUAGUCGUCAGGGGACUUGUCCUUUGGUGACGCAGCUAACGCAUUAAGCAUUCCGCCUGGGGAGUACGGUCGCAAGAUUAAAACUCUGCGAAUUUCCCGGAGGA
rnacentral:rRNA from 1 species